AACCUGCGGAGGGAUCAUUAAAGAGUUAUAACAACUCCCAAACCCCUGUGAACAUACCUUAUGUUGCCUCGGCAGGUCGCGCCUCGGUGCCCUGCCGGCGGCCCACGAAACUCUGUUUAGCAUUAAAUUCUGAACUUAUAACUAAAUCAGUUAAAACUUUCAACAACGGAUCUCUUGGUUCUGGCAUCGAUGAAGAACGCAGCGAAAUGCGAUAAGUAAUGUGAAUUGCAGAAUUCAGUGAAUCAUCGAAUCUUUGAACGCACAUUGCGCCCAUUAGUAUUCUAGUGGGCAUGCCUGUUCGAGCGUCAUUUCAACCCUUAAGCCCUCGUCGCUUAGCGUUGGGAGCCUACGGCACCGUAGCUCCCCAAAGUUAGUGGCGGAGUCGGUUCACACCCCAGACGUAGUAGAAUUUCACCUCGCCUGUAGUUGAACCGGUCCCCUGCCGUAAAACAACAUAAUCUUCUCAAGGUUGACCUCGGAUCAGGUAGGAAUACCCGCUGAACUUAAGCAUAUCAAUAG
rnacentral:rRNA from 1 species